rnacentral:lncRNA from 12 species
GGGGGGGGGGGGGGGGGGGGGGGGGGGGGGGGGGGGGGGGGCCGCGCUGGGCCCCUCACGCCGCCGCCCCCAGCCCCUCUCCUCCGCAGGCUCCUGCUCCUCUCCUGCUUGUCCCCUCGCAGGAGCGCAGCCUCCCUUGAGGGGGGCUUGUUUCCCCCUAACAUCGUUCCCCGCCCCCCGUCUCCCCUCUCACACCAGCUCGGGGGCAAAGCUCACUUUCCGCCCCCGUUACCCAUUUUGCUCCCUCUGGAGUCUCCCCCCAUUUCCCAGGGAAUUUCCAGCAACAGCGUUUAACCUCAACGUGUAAAAUCCCUGGUGGCAGAGCCUGACAUUCGCUGCGCACAAGUUUGCCCGACCUCAGCCCUGUGCACCAGGCUGCCCAGCAUCUCUGACUCCUUGUACCCAUGAGGGUCUCUGCCCCAGACGGUCCCAGCAAAAGCAGCUUCAGGGCUGAAUUCCGUAGGGUUUCACAUCUUUUUCUCUUGCGGAGGUGAUACUACAUUGCCAGCUACGCUUUUUUACCAUAUGCAACACCAACACACUGGCAGUUAACAAGCUACAACACAGAACCACUUGGCAACACAGAGAAAAUGGGCAGAAAAUCCCCAAGCAAGAGGGAAGGGAAAAAAAAAAUGCGAUGAAUUGACGGCAUUAAGCAUGCAAGAGAGAACUGUAAAGGAGAGGCUGCCAGGGAGCAAAGGUGCCCUCCCAGGCUUGUGCACAGCACCAAGUGGGGAACCUCAGCAGGGGAAUCAGCCACUGCUUCAUCAGAGAGAUGAAGCACCUGAAUACUUUCUGGAGAGCAACAGAGGGAGAAGAGAGUGA